UUUUCUUCUUGGAUUGUACUAAUUGCUCUGUAUGUUUGCGAAUUACAUAAAAAAUUGUUAUAUAUUACCCACUCUUUCAAUCCAAGCUCAGUCCUAGCAGGGCUAUCUUUUCUAUUUUUCAUGCCCUCUCAAGUUUCCCUCUCAAGUUUUCAAGGUUAAAUGUGAUAACAUGUUUGAAACCAUAUAUUCAUGAUUAACUUUGUUGUUUGGUUCUUUUACUUGAUAUUUAAACUCAAGUUCUUCUCUUUUGAUAUUUUCAAUAAUAAUGAAUGCCUCUAAAGCUGUGAAAUAUUUCUAAUUCUAUGAACAUUCAGUAUUGCUAUCAACAAUCCAACGGAGAUUUCGAAAUAGUGGAUGUCAUUAGGAAGUUGUACAUAGUGAUGUAGUUAGUUUUGAAAGUGAACUUCAAUUGCUUGAAUUCUUACUUCUUUUAUCUUCUUGGCGAUAUUUAAUCUACUAAAUUUUGACUUUUGCUUGGUUUGUUAUGAUUUUUAUAGUGUGCUUCAAAUUCUAUAUGUACGACACCGAAUUAGUUCUAUAUGUGUUUUUUGGUUGAAAUAAUACGUUGUUGGCUAUGAAAGUUACCUAUUUUAAAGAGAGAGAAAAAACUUUUUUGGUUGUGUAAUUAUUUCUUCUCCAAAAGAAGUUGUCCACUUAUUUUCAGGUUUCAGAUCAAAGGUUUGGUGAACAAGUCAAUUAUAGUUCUCGUCUAAGGAGGGAUGAAUACCCAUUAAAUAUUUGCAGAACCAGUUGAUCGCGCUGAGGUUCUAUUGGUCUUAUGAUUGGCUUUGGUUUUUGAAGGCCAGGGUUUAGAUGAUUUGAUGAAUUUACAAGUCUCCGACCAAAAGCAAAGAUGAGAUUAUCAUUAUGCCGAGACAAUUUGACAACUUUUCAAAUUUCGUAUAUUGAAUGUAAUGACUACUAUUGGGUUGUAGAAUGCUACAUUGCUACUGAUGGGAUGUUAAUCUGAUUUUUGUAACUGCUUAUAUAUAUAUGAAGGCAUGCCAUGAUUGAUCUA